CCUACGGGUGGCAGCAGUGGGGAAUAUUGGACAAUGGGGGAAACCCUGAUCCAGCCAUGCCGCGUGUGUGAAGAAGGCCCUCGGGUUGUAAAGCACUUUCAGUGAGGAAGAACGCCUGGUGGUUAAUACCCAUCAGGAAAGACAUCACUCACAGAAGAAGCACCGGCUAACUCCGUGCCAGCAGCCGCGGUAAUACGGAGGGUGCGAGCGUUAAUCGGAAUUACUGGGCGUAAAGCGCGCGUAGGUGGCUUGAUAAGCCGGUUGUGAAAGCCCCGGGCUCAACCUGGGAACGGCAUCCGGAACUGUCAAGCUAGAGUGCAGGAGAGGAAGGUAGAAUUCCCGGUGUAGCGGUGAAAUGCGUAGAGAUCGGGAGGAAUACCAGUGGCGAAGGCGGCCUUCUGGACUGACACUGACACUGAGGUGCGAAAGCGUGGGUAGCAAACAGGAUUAGAUACCCCAGUAGUC
rnacentral:rRNA from 1 species